rfam:Aedes aegypti strain Liverpool supercont1.849 genomic scaffold, whole genome shotgun sequence.
CCUCUCAUGGCGUAGUGGUAUCGCGCCCCAACUAGAGAUCGGGGAGUCGUGAGUUCGAUUCUCACUGAGAAGA